CGCUAGAUCCUGAGGGGUAUCAUUCGUUGUGUUCGUACGCCUCGGCGGCGGUGGCUAUGAAUGUAGUGCCGUGGUCAGCGCAUGAAGACAUCAAUUUUUCUCAGUCGUCGGUUUCGCGCUGUCGUAGGUGGACGUGUGUGUGUUGUGCUUCUUGUUUCAUGCUAAUUACCACAUGGAGGUGGAACCCCUGUAGCUGACCAGGACUGUCAGAUGCCAUACAUGAAUUGGGUAUGGGAUAGAGAGAGAAGUAUUGGGAUUCUAUUGGAGAAUUUGCAUACCCCUACUUAUGCUAGUCCUCACUAGGCCAACCAAAGCAGUUCAAGUUCUUCAAACAGAGCUGACCCAGCAGAAGGCCUCAGGCCACUCCCACGGGAUUAUUGGAUUGGCCUUUUGCAUUCAUGCCUGAAUGCUGUCCAGGGCAUCCCACAGGCACCAGCUGCGUGACGAUGCCCCACCCCACGGAUUGUCUUAUGCCAACAUCGUGCUCCCGUAGGGAACUAUGGACACUAGAAGAUGGACUGUGGACAUGCUAAGGAAUUCUUCAGUAGCUUCAUGGUGCACUGGAGAAGAAACAGCAGACCUGGACGAAGUAAACAAACGGCCCUUAUCAGGGCCACCAUAUGUCUGCCACAAUGGCUAGCGUUCUGCUGAUAGAACAAACCCUGAUGAUGAUAGAAGAUCACUGAACUAACCAUAACUCAAGCACGAUGGCUACAACAGUGCUGAUAGAAAGCAAUCAUUGCAGUUGCAAAUGCCAUACAUUUCGUUAAGCACUAUAUUUUUGAUGCCAGUAAUAUUUAGAGCUGAAGGAGUCAUGUUCUGCCACUUUUUGGAUGGUCAAAGUAUGCAUCACAGAACAUAUUGCUAAGGUGAACAGUAUGUGGAAUAGAGGAGAGAACUAUAACUCCUGUUAUUCAUUUGCACAGAAAAUAUGAAGCAGAAAAUGUCGAGGUUGUUGCGAGAGACCUGUACUAUGUCUGUUCUAUGUCUUUUGCAAAAGCUAUCACAGUUUCUCGACAAAAGUGACAUGGAGAAUGUACUGGAUGCCUCCAUUUUUCCCCUUUCUCUCCGUACUAUAAAGGUAGUUGUUUUUGUGUAGUCCAAUAAUACGAGAAUUUGAAAAAAAAAGGUCUUUGGGUGUACUUGACAUAAUUGUGUGCCAGUCUAUAUCAUUAAACCCCCGUGGCACUGAGGACAAAACUUUACGAGACAGUAUAUUUGGGUCCGAAGAACGCCAUUGGAACCACAGGGCACAUUGAGUUUAGACCACAUCACGGAGGGCCACAAGGAAAAGAAACGACUGUAGUUACCAUAAAACUUUGGUAUAUCGUACAUAACAUUGUACACAAAAACAGGACCCACAUAGUUAUUGUGGAGCCGGAUUGUGGAUAACACAAAAAAUUAACAGGCUUACUAGGCUAACUCCAAUAAAUGGGCGGCCUUUCAAAUAGAGUGCUGAAAGUAUGAAAGACUAUUCGACCUUCACAAAGGUUUAGGAGAAUGUUCAGGAGCACUCCAAAUUAUCUAUUUACUUACUGUAUUGCUGCCUUAGCUCACAGUUGGAAAAAUAAGUAUGGAAAUUCAAAGAGAAAGAGCUAGCUGGCAUAUUCACAGUGGGUUAUGGCUUCAGGUUUGCUAUGUUGUGUUUAAUGAGAAGUGCAGAAAUUUGGGCCAGUUGGUACAUAACUGCAAAAGGGAAUAAGAGCAUACAGACGGGACAAUGGAGAGACAGCGCUGCUUACAACUAAACUAUAAUGACCCGACGCAGUCAUGUGCGCAGGUGCAUUGCUAUCCCACCAUGUCAAAACAACGAGUACAGUGCUAGACAAAUGUUAGAGAACAUGCUCCGGCACAUUCCUUCCUUAGAGUGACAGUGAAUGGGACCAUACAGACUUAGCCAUGUGCGUAUAGGUAGCCCAGUCACCUGUAUGCAAGUCCGUACAAUACCAUUCACUGCCAGCUUGUCACUCGGAGGGAGGAGUGCGCCAGAGUAUGUUCCAUAAACUUUUGUCCAGCACUUUACAAGUAUAAAACUGAUUAACAAUGUAGAAUGGGCUAGUUGGUGUGACAUCUUAGACUACGGAGCUACGGCAGACAAGGACAACACACCGCUCCACUAUCAACUGGUUUAUUUCUGGAAAAAAAGAAAAGGGAGGUUGAACGUUGGGAUUGGGGUUUUGAGAAGACCUGAUUAAAAAGGAACUUUACACCUAGUGGUGAUCUUUUCCUGUUGUCAAAACCACGGAAGUUAUAAAGGAUGACACAAGUGGAAAAAAUUCUUAUGCUUUGAAUAAAAAUUCAAGUUCCGUAUCCAUCAGAGAAAUAGAAGCUUCAGUAAUACAACUUCUUCUUCUCCCCAGGAAGAUGGCCGCGAUCCGCAAGGGAGAUUGGCCAGGGCUAAUUCUUAUUUCACUUCUUUUUUCAGCCACUUCGACUACCUCUCUUUCGAACUGACAGUUUGCUUUUCUUUUAGGCUGAGUUCUUUCAAAAGCCAGGUUUCAAUGUCACUAUUUGAUUUAGUGUAAGAAUUAGGAUGAACAGAAGAUCGACUCAAUCCUUG